CCUACGGGAGGCAGCAGUGAGGAAUAUUGGUCAAUGGCCGUAAGGCUGAACCAGCCAAGUCGCGUGAAGGAAGAAGGAUCUAUGGUUUGUAAACUUCUUUUAUAGGGGAAUAAAGGUAUCCACGUGUGGAUAUUUGCAUGUACCCUAUGAAUAAGCAUCGGCUAACUCCGUGCCAGCAGCCGCGGUAAUACGGAGGAUGCGAGCGUUAUCCGGAUUUAUUGGGUGUAAAGGGUGCGUAGGUUUUUUUUUAAGUCAGCGGUGAAAGUUUGUGGCUCAACCAUAAAAUUGCCGUUGAAACUGGCAGACUUGAGUGUGUUUGAGGUAGGCGGAAUGCGUGGUGUAGCGGUGAAAUGCAUAGAUAUCACGCAGAACUCCGAUUGCGAAGGCAGCUUACUAAGCCAUAACUGACACUGACGCACGAAAGCGUGGGGAUCAAACAGGAUUAGAUACCCGGGUAGUC
rnacentral:rRNA from 1 species